UGGUUUUCCUGAUGCAAACUAGGCUGUUGUCUGAGGAGGAGCUCGGGACCUCGCUGUCACUGGGAAUGGCUGCUGCCUUCAUGGGGGGAGCUCUGGCCUUUACUGUCCUUCCUGGGGAAAGCAGCCUGAAGAGACUUCCUCUUCACUGAGACUGGACUGGACGGGGAAGAGGAUCUGCAGGCCUGGAGGGAACCUGGUCCCAGCAGGAAGCGCAGCGUGCAGAGGCAGCACGGCAGGGCCCAGGUCAGACUGCUACCGUAGAAGUUGGCCUCAUUCUGCUCAUUCUGGGAUGGUGGCAGCGGCUCGGACUGCUGCCAUGUUAUGCAUUUGGAAGAAUGAUUGCAUUAUAAAACCCAUUCCAAGCUUCCCACUGUUUCAACAGUGGAAAUAGUGAAGAGUGUUUGGACCGAUUUAUGUAAUUCUGAUAUUACUGAAGACUUUUACCACUCAAGCAUUCCCC
rnacentral:lncRNA from 1 species